AUUGAACGCUGGCGGCAUGCCUUACACAUGCAAGUCGAACGGCAGCACGGGAGCAAUCCUGGUGGCGAGUGGCGAACGGGUGAGUAAUGUAUCGGAACGUGCCCAGUCGUGGGGGAUAACGUAGCGAAAGCUACGCUAAUACCGCAUACGAUCUAUGGAUGAAAGCGGGGGAUCGCAAGACCUCGCGCGAUUGGAGCGGCCGAUAUCAGAUUAAGUAGUUGGUGGGGUAAAGGCUCACCAAGCCGACGAUCUGUAGCUGGUCUGAGAGGACGCCCAGCCACACUGGGACUGAGACACGGCCCAGACUCCUACGGGAGGCAGCAGUGGGGAAUUUUGGACAAUGGGAGCAAGCCUGAUCCAGCAAUGCCGCGUGCAGGAUGAAGGCCUUCGGGUUGUAAACUGCUUUUGUACGGAACGAAACGGCGAGCUCUAAUACAGUUUGCUAACGACGGUACCGUAAGAAUAAGCACCGGCUAACUACGUGCCAGCAGCCGCCGUAA
rnacentral:rRNA from 1 species